CGCAUCCUGGGGCUGGAGCAGGUCCCAAGGGUUGGGCUGUUCGCCCAUUAAAGCGGCACGCGAGCUGGGUUUAGAACGUCGUGAGACAGUUCGGUCUCUAUCCGCCGCGCGCGUCAGAAGCUUGAGGCAACCUGUCCCUAGUACGAGAGGACCGGGACGGACGAACCUCUGGUCUACCAGUUGUCCCACCAGGGGCACUGCUGGAUAGCUACGUUCGGACAGGAUAACCGCUGAAAGCAUCUAAGCGGGAAACCU
rnacentral:rRNA from 1 species